CUUAUGGCCACAUUGAGACAGCAGUUCCCAUUCAAUCACUGAAGUUAAGCAAUGUUGAUCAUGGUCAGUACCUAGAUAGAUGACCACUUGAGAAUACUAGGUGCUGUAAG